UUAUCUUUAUAAGUAGUUAAAGAAAAAAAAGGACAAAACACAGCUUUAAGGGUAUUCAAUCGCCUGAGCAAAUUUACAAGAUAGCAGCAACAUGUUCUCUGCAUAAGAAAGAACACUUUCAGUUUUUUGAACAGCAGUAAGGCAUGCAAGGCUGGGGAACAUGUCUGAAACACUGUCGCCAAGGCGAUGGGGGCUGCACUCACCAUACACCAUUAAAUAUGAGAAAUCUCCAUCUCGCUUUCCACUGGUAUCUAAGCACAACCUGCCUCACAAUGAAUGCUACUGCAGCUCCUGUUUCAUGGUAUUUUGGAAGCAAGCCCAUCAUCACUCUCAGGUAAAAAUGGUAGGCAAAUGGGAUUAAAUAAAAGAAAAAUUAGGAAACUGAUCAUCUGGCACCCAGGGAAUCUCACGAGAAAAGCUGACAGAAUGACACAUUAUAUUGUGAAUGCACCACCAACCGGUUUCAUUAUUACUUUGUUUACUUUGUUUAUCAAAGAAAUGGGUUUAUAUUUUUGGUCAUUAACAAUAAUUCUGAACUUCAUUUCAUGAUAGAUCAAGUCAGUAUCAGUAUAUUGCUAUCAUUUGUAUCUAUCAUAUGUUUUUGGUUUUGAUUUGAUUGAUGGCAAUCAAAAAAUCUGAGUACAAAUUGUCUUGACGUAAAGAGUUGUCUUGAAUUUACAGAAGAGAAGUUAGUAAUGGUAAUAGUUAAUUAAUAUUAAAUUUUAAAAAUUGUUUUGUUUUAUCACUACAUAAAACAAAGAUGUUCCAAAGAUGUACACACUCAAACACACACAGGCAGAUCCCUGACACACACGGAACUCAGAACAGUUCCUCACCUCAAGUGAAUAAACAUACUAUAAUAUAUACCAUAAUACAAAUAUGGUGCAAAUAUACCAGCACUGACAUCAGAUACUCAUACACCAGUGCCUGUACCCGUAUCGCUGCUACAGACCUGCCAGGCUGUUAGCCAUUAAUCUCAGAGAUGCUAUAGCACACCGGCUGAGUUUGAAGAGUCACAGCAGGACACAGGCGGUGGUGGGACGGGGCCAGAAAAACAGAAAAGUUCUCACCUACCACAGACGACAGCAAC